GGGGCUGGGAAAGCAAUGGCCUUGAUCUGGGCAGCGGCCUGGUUCUAAUUUUAGCAGCCACAGAGCAAUGGACUUCCUGGAGGAAUCAAAUUGCUGGGCUCUCCCCUGCAGGGCUGACACCAGACAUGUGGAAGAGAUUCAGAUCACAGAAUUGCCAAAUCAGGUUACACCUCCAGGUCACCAGAUCCAGGCUGUGUCUCUGAAAGUAGGGGACACGCUGUCUGAGCUCAGCAAGAGUCUUGUAAAACUUGCUUAGUUUGUGGACAAAAGAGGGGGAAAUGAAACCACCCACCAGGAAAAGGCCCGAAAAGCCAGCUCUAGGAUCCAGGUCCUCUUCUUCCUGUGUUCCUGAUGAUGUCAUUCUCUAAGUGCUACGGCUCUUCAAGUGACUGGCUCACAGGAUCUGGGUGGCAGCCUGAAUGCAAACUCUGAGCCCCUUGCAAGUCCUUCUUCAGAGGUGCCUGGUGUGAGACAGUAAACCAUGCCAUGAAGCUUGCUAAGGUAGCGCUGGUCUGAUAUCCAGAGACUUGGUCUUCUUGUUUUCCUUACCUGACCUCUACAGUAGAAAGCACAGCACUGCAUUGAGGAGGGAGGAGCACAGCUUGGAUGUUUUCCUGAACUGAAGAUUUCUGUGCGACUCACAGAAGGAAACUGAGGCUGGAGAUGACAGAACAGCCUUUCCAGUCUGAGAAGGCAGCUUCAAGCUAAGUGCAUACUUGUCAGAGGCCUUCUGGGGCAGCUGACACCACUUCCUGAACCUAUGCAGUGUGGACCAGGGACCUGCUGUGAUAUGCUGUCACUCAGGAAAGCCAGAUCCACAACAGCUGACACCACGCCACCAAAGGAGGCUUCUGUUCCCAGAGGCCCUUUUGGUACUUCGCCUCUCUUAGAACAGGACCACUCUUCAUUCAUGGCCUCCUAACCCUUCGUCUCUGGUCCUCUCAGCCACCAUAGAUCUACCUAACCUUGAGUUCCAAAGCUCCACCAUAAGCCUCUACACUUCCCACUACCCAGCAUGCUUUCUGUUGACCAUUUAUCUUCCAAGGGCUUGAGCCCUGGCCCUGGAAUGACAGCUCACAGUUUGAAUUUUGUUCUACGAAUGUGUGAGACAUAAAGGAACACGUGAGCUCAUCAUAUCUGCUGCUGCGUACACUGGAACAGAGGUCAAGAACAUCCAUCCCGCUCUUCUGCACAGUGAACAAAGAGAAACAGAGACAAACAGGGCCCAAGAUCUAAGGGAAUACUGAGUAUGCACACGGGAGCGAUUGGCAAGAUCUAAAUGGAGAGAACUUGAGAGAGCCUUCAGCCAUUGAGCCCUAGUGACAAGGAUGGGCUCCAUCCCCUGAGGACGGUUUGUGAUGGUUCUGAGAUAAACCUCCUCCUAUCUUCUGCACCCAGAUACUGCAGCCAUGCAAGGCACCUUGGAAACAGCUUUAUUGCCCUGGUACUCUGAGAGAACUUCUCUUCUUAGGCCUACUUUAAAAACCAAGUCUGCAAAAUUCACACAGCAAAAGUUGAAACGGGAGUCCAUGUUCACUAAAAGCAAUGGGAGUCACACUGCAAUUCCAAUUCAGAGAAACUUCUUGAAAAUCUUCCAUGAAGAGGCAAUUGUUUAAAUUCUUCAGGAUUCAGAGAAGUGAGGCCAAGGUACCCGGUGUGACUAAGAUACUUAGUUAUCCAACUCCUUCUUUGAGUUCCCCACUCCCCACCUCCACCCGCUCCUGGUACAGUUUAUAUUUUCAUUAAUCAGGGUGUUCUACAGACUCUCCAAACUCAAUUCAAAUGAGUCCAGCAAAGGAGAGAAUCAGCUCAGCAGAGAGCCAUGGCCAAGGCAAGGAUGGAGCUAACUGCAGAACCUACUGGGCCCCUCAGCUUUCUCUUCCUCUUGCCGCUCCUUGCUGGUGCCUUCAUUUCCCCAGCAAUUUGACUUUCCCCAGGACUAUCGAUUUCAUAUCUUCAAAGUACUAUGGCCCUGGGACAAACUGGCCUCCGUCCCCAGCUCCAUCAGAGGCUUUGAUUUCCCUGGGCUUCAUCAAGGUCUUAUCCUUUUGGUCUGGGACCACGUUCUGCUUCCGUUCCACCAGAAAGAAAAGUCAGAGCAGUUAAAAACAGUGCAGGGUCACUUCAACUUUCUCUGUCACAGCUCUUGAUACAAAGUCACUUCUCCCUGAAAGUGUAGUCCCCAAACUCUGCUUUUCUGCGGUCCCCAAAGCCUGGGUUGAUAAACAUCCAAAACUGCUUCAUCCCUGUUCUGCCCUUACAGAUCCCUGAGUCUUUUCUCAAGUGGGCUUAAAUAUAUGCAAUUGAAUGUACUUAAUGAAA